AGACCUGGAUGCUGGGCAUCCUCGCUAGAUCCCCUACAAAUUCCCCACAUACGUAGGCCAGGAGCCUCAGCGGUGCCCCUUCAGGCUCAUCUGGCAAGACGGUACCAGCUUGCUCAGAACAGGGGCUGGCUAUUCAUCAUCUCAGAGCAUAGAGACCCUCUCCUUGCCACCCGGCCCUUCCCACCUGGUUGGUGACAAAUCACAAGUGACCAUCUACCUGGGGAACAGAGACUACAUAGACCAUGUCAGCCAAGUCCAGCCUGUGGGUAAGUUGCUUGGAGAAA
rnacentral:lncRNA from 1 species